rnacentral:rRNA from 1 species
GUGAAAUGCGUAGAGAUCCGGAAGAACACCAAAGGCGAAGGCAGUGUCCUGGUUGGUACCUGACGCUCAGAGGCGACAGCUAGGGGAGCGAACGGGAUUAGAUACCCCGGUAGUCCUAGCCGUAAACGAUGACCACGAGAUGUCCGGGGGAUCGACCCCCUGGGUGUCGAAGCAAACGCAGUCAGUGGUCCGCCUGGGGAGUACGGUCGCAAGAUUAAAACUCAAAGGAAUUGACGGGGACCCGCACAAGCAGCGGAGCGUGUGGUUUAAUUCGAUGCAACGCGAAGCACCUUACCAGGGUUUGACAUGUCUUCGCACCUCUAGGAGACUAGAGUGCCCGCAAGGGACGGAGACACAGGUGCUGCAUGGCUGUCGUCAGCUCGUGCCGUGAGGUGUUGGGUUAAGUCCCGCAACGAGCGCAACCCUCAUUGCUAGUUGAACUUCUCUAGCGAGACUGCCACGAUCAACGUGGAGGAAGGUGGGGAUGACGUCAAGUCAGCACGGCCCUUACAUCCUGGGCGACACACACGCUACAAUGGCCGAGACAAAGAGUUGCGAACCGGCGACGGGGAGCUAAUCUCGUCAAACUCGGUCUCAGUUCAGAUUGCAGGCUGCAACCCGCCUGCAUGAAGUUGGAGUUGCUAGUAACCGUGAGUCAGCACAUCACGGUGAAUACGUUCCCGGGUCUUGUACACACCGCCCGUCACACCACGAAAGUCGGCAACCCCUGAAGCCGCUGGGCUAACUCGCAAGAGAGGCAAGCGUCGAGGGUGGGGUCGGUGAUUGGGGUGAAGUCGUAACAAGGUAACCGU